UCGAGUUAGGGUCUCCUCUCACGGGCCCGAUCUCCCAACCCUGUGUCUACUACACCUUGUCGUUGCUUCGGCGGACCGGUUGGAACAUGUUUUUGUUUCACCCGCCGGGGGGGGUUUCAUCCCCCGCUGGAGAGCGUCCGCCGAUGGCCCAACCACACCAAAAACUCUUUGUACGAAACCAUGUCGUCUGAAGUUUACUUGAUAAUCAAUCAAAAACA
rnacentral:misc_RNA from 1 species